UACGGAGGAUGCAAGCGUUAUCCGGAAUGAUUGGGCGUAAAGCGUCCGCAGGUGGCUAUGUAAGUCUGCUGUUAAAGAGUGAGGCUCAACCUCAUAAGAGCAGUGGAAACUACAUGGCUAGAGUGCGUUCGGGGCAGAGGGAAUUCCUGGUGUAGCGGUGAAAUGCGUAGAGAUCAGGAAGAACACCGGUGGCGAAAGCGGCUCUCUGGGUCGGACCUGACGCUGAGGCGCGAAAGCGUGGGGAGCGAACGGG
rnacentral:rRNA from 1 species